UGUUUGAUUUGUAAAAGUUUUAUUCUUGCUUAAAUAUUCAUUGUUUCUUUAUAUUAUAUACAAGUUUAGAAUACUAAAUGUUUCGUUUUGUAGUGAUUUAAUUUAAUUAUCAAGGUAAUUUGGAAUUAGUAAUUGAUUAAUGUUUUGGCUUAAUUUGUGCCAGCAGCCGCGGUUAUACAAUUAAUGCAAGUGAAUAUUUUUGACUUAAACAGUUAAUAUUAUUUUUGAUUGAAUUUAUAUGUAUAUUUAUUGGGUGAAAUUUUUUAUUUAUUAAUUGUUCUUAUUUGAUUCUGUGAAAAUUGAAUUAUAAACUAGGAUUAGAUACCCUAUUAUUUCAAUUGUAAAUUUCUUGUCAGGUUAUUAAUAGUUAAGAUCUUUAAAUUCAAAGAAUUUGGCGGUAUCUUAUUCUAUUUAGAGGAACCUGCUUCAUAAUUGAUAAUACACGAUUUAAAAUACUUAAUUUAUUGUUUGUAUAUCUCCGUUAUCAGAAAGUCUUUUUAGGGUUUGUUAAUUUUCGUGUUUUUUAAUAAAAGAUUAUUUCAGGUCAAGGUGCAGCUUAUAAUUAAGGGAAAGUGGGUUACAAUAAAUUGUUUUUUAUUACGGUUUAAUUAAUGUAAAUUUUUAAUUAAGGUGGAUUUAAUAGUAAUUUAAUUAUAUUUAUUUUAUUUGAUAUUAGCUCUAAGAUAUGUACACAUCGCCCGUCGCUCUCAUUAUUAAGAUUUAUUUAAAUUUAAUUAAUUUAGAUGAGAUAAG
rnacentral:ncRNA from 1 species